CAAAAGAUGAAAAACAAUAGUUUUUUUUCUUUUUUUUACAUUUUUAAGUAGUUGUCUCAGAGAGGAUAUUUGUACAGAGUCCAUUUUUAGGUCUAAAAUGGCAGAACAUAAUUUAGACAUUAUCACUACCAAAGAGGAAUAGGUUCAGCUAGAUUGCUUUCCUUUAAAUCGUUAAAGGACACAAAGGUUGAACAGGAUGGCAUUUUGCAAUAUCCACCUCUUUUCUAAUCUCUUCCUUUAUGGUCUAGCAAAGGAGAGAAAAUUAUGUUCUUCUCUGGAACACAAGGCUAGCAAAAAUAAUAAAAUGAGUCAUCUCAUUUAUCCAAUUCAUCACAAUUCUGUGUUUGAAGCAUUUGUCCUGGCUUUAACAAGGUCUAUCCAUAUCUCAAAGAAAGGCGUAGAUGACUCAUGUUUUGUACAAAGCUAUGCCUAAUGUCGGAGCACAGACUGAGGUGCUCAUACUAAGCAUCAUCAGGUGUCAAACACACUCCCAAUCAACAACAAACAAAUAAAUUAAAUAAAAGAAUAAUAUUAAAUGAUACAGUUGUAUAUCUUAAUAAUAAAAAAAUACAUAAAUGAACAUACAUAUAAAACCAAAAAACCCAAACAUAAAGUCCAGAGACUGUGCAAAAAAUAACAAAAAUAAAUGAACAUCUAAUUUGAGUAAAAAUAAAUACAGGAAAUUAAAUAAAAUAAAAAUAUGCCCACAAUUCUAAGACAGCAAAAAAUGUGCAAAUAAAUAAAUGAAUAAAAGUUAGAUAAAUAUAGUAAAAUUCAGUUGUGAGUAUAGGGAAAGUGAGCUGUCGUCCACAAAUAUUGGCACCAAUGUAAAAACGGUGAAAAACACUUCAAAUACGGUAAACUUAUUUUUUUAUAGCAGUAGCUUACUCUGACAAAAAUGCAAAAAAAAAAAUAAUAAUAAAAAUCCAACCUUCAACUAGAGUGCAUUCAUUCAUUAGGCAUAAUUGUUACGGUCUCCUUUGAUAAUUCAAAUACAAUAUUUUAUUUUAUUUUUUUUCAAAAUCCUAACUUGCCAUUUUGAAUAAAGCCAAGAUAGCAGACACUUGUCAAAGAUAAG